AGUGAACGCUGGCGGUAGGCCUAACACAUGCAAGUCGAACGGCCGCACAGUAAGAGCUUGCUCUUACGGGUGACGAGUGGCGGAAGGGUGAGGUAUACAUCGGAAUCUACUUUUUCGUGGGGGAUAACGUAGGGAAACUUACGCUAAUACCGCAUACGACCUACGGGUGAAAGCAGGGGAUCUUCGGACCUUGCGCGAGUGAAUGAGCCGAGGUCGGACGAGCUAGUUGGCGGGGGAAAGGCCCACCAAGGCGACGGUCCGUAGCUGGUCUGAGAGGGUGAUUAGACACAUGGGAAGUGAGAAACGUCCCAGACUCUGAGGGGAGGCAGCAGUGGGGAAUAUUGGGCGAUGGGGGAAAGCCUGAUCCAGCCAUACCGCGUGGGUGAUGAAGUCCUUCGGGUUGUAAAGCGCUGUUGUUGGGAAAGAAAAGAAGCAGGUUAAUACCCGGCUGUUCUGACGGUACCCAAAGAAUAAGCACCGGCUAACUUCGUG
rnacentral:rRNA from 1 species